rnacentral:lncRNA from 1 species
CCCGAAGCGACUUUGGGUCACGAGUACGAUAGGUCGGUUGAGCUCUGCUCCUGUUUUCCAGCUUCUCUUUUGGCCUUUUGGCACCAAUAUGGUUGUGGGGAGGCUUAAAAUCAAAUUUCAAAGUGAAAGGGGGAAAUACCUCACUUCUCUAGUGUCGGCAGCUACUCCGGUGCGGCGGCAAUUGCGGUCGGCUUUCCUUCCAGCCGUCCUUCUUCUUCUUCUCCGGCGGGGUCAGGUGUAGCUAGGGUUAGGGUUUAUGGGAAGGCAAUGCUUAAAUACCCUCUCUAUGUCAAUCUAGGCUGUUCGUGCUGGGACACGUGGCCCACUCCCAGCCGUUGAAUCACUCU